rnacentral:misc_RNA from 1 species
AACGCACGAGACCUGCGGACCUGCGGAGGGAUCAUUAUCGUAUCUCCCCGGGGGGUCUGCGUGCCCCCGCUCCGGUUCCGGCCGUGCAGCGGGUGCCGUGGCCCCUCGGAAAAACCUCGCAAACCCCACUGUGCACCUUUCGCGGCGGAGGGCGCGGCGCGAGCCCCGCCCGAAGCUGCGGUUCUCACACACGCGGUUUUAUCGAAUGUGAAGCGGACGCUGUUCCGCCCAACAACACUU